UACGGAGGGAGCUAGCGUUAUUCGGAAUUACUGGGCGUAAAGUGCACGUAGGCGGCUUUGUAAGUAAGAGGUGAAAGCCAGACGCUCAACUCUGGAAUUGCCUUUUAGACUGCAUCGCUUGAAUCAUGGAGAGGUCAGUGGAAUUCCGAGUGUAGAGGUGAAAUUCGUAGAUAUUCGGAAGAAACACCAGUGGCGAAGGGCGGCUGACUGGACAUGUAUUGACGCUGAGGUGCGAAAGCGUGGGGAGCAAACAGG
rnacentral:rRNA from 1 species